rnacentral:rRNA from 1 species
GGGGGGGGGGGGGGGGGGGGGGGGGGGGGGGGAGGCGGGGGGAGGGACGGGAGGCGUGCUUGGCUGGUGUGAGCGGCGGACGGGUGAGUGACACGUGGAUAACCUACCUAUAAGACUGGGAUAACUUCGGGAAACCGGAGCUAAUACCGGAGAAUAUUUUGCACCGCAUGGUUCCAAAGUGAAAGACGGUCUUGCUGUCACUUAUAGAUGGAGCCGCGCUGCCUUAGCUAGUUGGUAAGGUAACGGCUUACCAAGGCAACGAUGCAUAGCCGACCUGAGAGGGUGAUCGGCCACACUGGAACUGAGACACGGUCCAGACUCCUACGGGAGGCAGCAGUAGGGAAUCUUCCGCAAUGGGCGAAAGCCUGACGGAGCAACGCCGCGUGAGUGAUGAAGGUCUUCGGAUCGUAAAACUCUGUUAUUAGGGAAGAACAUAUGUGUAAGUAACUGUGCACAUCUUGACGGUACCUAAUCAGAAAGCCACGGCUAACUACGUG